UGUAUCGCUGAUGAUAACUUGGCUCCCUCUACUGAACACUGUGAGGAGACUGCCAUUGUUACCCAAUUUUUGUCUGAGAUACA
ensembl:snoRNA small nucleolar RNA SNORD100